GAUGGCUCAGUGGUUAAGAGCCCUGAUUACUUUCCAGAGGAUCUGGGUUCAAUUCCCAGCAUCA
rnacentral:tRNA from 1 species